rnacentral:rRNA from 1 species
UACAGAGGUCCCAAGCGUUGUUCGGAUUCACUGGGCGUAAAGGGUGCGUAGGCGGUCGGGUAAGUCUGAUGUGAAAUCUCACAGCUUAACUGUGAAACUGCAUUGGAUACUAUCCGGCUCGAGGAAUGGAGGGGAGACUGGAAUACUUGGUGUAGCAGUGAAAUGCGUAGAUAUCAAAGUGGAACACCAGUGGCGAAGGCGAGUCUCUAGACAUUUCCUGACGCUGAGGCACGAAAGCCAGGGGAGCAAACGGG